rnacentral:rRNA from 1 species
UACGGAGGGUGCAACGUUGCUCGGAAUUAUUGGGCGUAAAGCGCACGUAGGCGGUCCAGCAAGUCGGGUGUGAAAGCCUCGGCUCAACCGAGGAAUUGCCUUGGAUACUGCGGGCGUCGAGGCUGGAAGAGGGCAGUGGAAGUUCCCGGGUGUGAGCGGGUGAAAGUGACGUAGAUAUCGGGAGGAACACCAGUCGGCGAAGGGCGGACCUGGCCCUGGGCCAGUUCGUGACGCUGACGGCGG